rnacentral:rRNA from 1 species
GAUGAACGCUGGCGGCGUGCCUCAAACAUGCAAGUCGAGCGAGGCUAUGAGUUACCGCAAGGUAAGGCAUAGCCUAGCGGCGAACGGGUGAGUAACACGUGGGUAACCUACCUGGAAGACAGGGAUAACGAUUCGAAAGGGUCGCUAAUACCUGAUAAUAUCCAUCUGCCGGAUGGCGGAGGGAAGAAAGGGGAAACCCGCUUUCAGAUGGGCCCGCGUCCCAUCAGCUAGUUGGUAAGGUAAAGGCUUACCAAGGCGACGACGGGUAGCCGGUCCGAGAGGAUGUACGGCCACACUGGGACUGAGAUACGGCCCAGACUCCUACGGGAGGCAGCAGUUGGGAAUCUUAGGCAAUGGACGAAAGUCUGACCUAGCGACGCCGCGUGAGGGAAGAAGGCCUUCGGGUUGUAAACCUCUGUCAUGGGGAAGAAGGAAGUGACGGUACCCAAGAGGAAGCCCCUGCUAACUACGUG